rnacentral:rRNA from 1 species
AGUGAACGCUGGCGGUAGACCUAACACAUGCAAGUCGAACGGCAGCACAGUAAGAGCUUGCUCUUACGGGUGGCGAGUGGCGGACGGGUGAGUAAUACAUCGGAAUCUACUUUUUCGUGGGGGAUAACGUAGGGAAACUUACGCUAAUACCGCAUACGACCUACUGGUGAAAGCAGGGGAUCUUCGGACCUUGCGCGAUUGAAUGAGCCUAUGUCGGAUUAGCUAGUUGGCGGGGUAAAGGCCCACCAAGGCGACGAUCCGUAGCUGGUCUGAGAGGAUGAUCAGCCACACUGGAACUGAGACACGGUCCAGACUCCUAAGGGAGGCAGCAGUGGGGAAUAUUGGACAAUGGGCGCAAGCCUGAUCCAGCCAUACCGCGUGGGUGAAGAAGGCCUUCGGGUUGUAAAGCCCUUUUGUUGGGAAAGAAAAGCAGCAGGUUAAUACCCCGCUGUUCUGACGGUACCCAAAGAAUAAGCACCGGCUAACUUCGUG